rnacentral:rRNA from 1 species
UACAGAGGGUGCAAGCGUUAAUCGGAAUUACUGGGCGUAAAGCGUGCGCAGGCGGUUUUGUAAGUCUGAUGUGAAAUCCCCGGGCUCAACCUGGGAAUUGCGAUGGAGACUGCAAGGCUUGAAUCUGGCAGAGGGGGGUAGAAUUCCACGUGUAGCAGUGAAAUGCGUAGAGAUGUGGAGGAAUACCGAUGGCGAAGGCAGC